GGGUUGUGAGGUUAAGCGACUAAGCGUACACGGUGGAUGCCCUGGCAGUCAGAGGCGAUGAAGGACGUGCUAAUCUGCGAUAAGCGUCGGUAAGGUGAUAUGAACCGUUAUAACCGGCGAUUUCCGAAUGGGGAAACCCAGUGUGUUUCGACACACUAUCAUUAACUGAAUCCAUAGGUUAAUGAGGCGAACCGGGGGAACUGAAACAUCUAAGUACCCCGAGGAAAAGAAAUCAACCGAGAUUCCCCCAGUAGCGGCGAGCGAACGGGGAGCAGCCCAGAGCCUGAAUCAGUGUGUGUGUUAGUGGAAGCGUCUGGAAAGGCGCGCGAUACAGGGUGACAGCCCCGUACACAAAAAUGCACAUGCUGUGAGCUCGAUGAGUAGGGCGGGACACGUGGUAUCCUGUCUGAAUAUGGGGGGACCAUCCUCCAAGGCUAAAUACUCCUGACUGACCGAUAGUGAACCAGUACCGUGAGGGAAAGGCGAAAAGAACCCCGGCGAGGGGAGUGAAAAAGAACCUGAAACCGUGUACGUACAAGCAGUGGGAGCACGCUUAGGCGUGUGACUGCGUACCUUUUGUAUAAUGGGUCAGCGACUUAUAUUCUGUAGCAAGGUUAACCGAAUAGGGGAGCCGAAGGGAAACCGAGUCUUAACUGGGCGUUAAGUUGCAGGGUAUAGACCCGAAACCCGGUGAUCUAGCCAUGGGCAGGUUGAAGGUUGGGUAACACUAACUGGAGGACCGAACCGACUAAUGUUGAAAAAUUAGCGGAUGACUUGUGGCUGGGGGUGAAAGGCCAAUCAAACCGGGAGAUAGCUGGUUCUCCCCGAAAGCUAUUUAGGUAGCGCCUCGUGAAUUCAUCUCCGGGGGUAGAGCACUGUUUCGGCAAGGGGGUCAUCCCGACUUACCAACCCGAUGCAAACUACGAAUACCGGAGAAUGUUAUCACGGGAGACACACGGCGGGUGCUAACGUCCGUCGUGAAGAGGGAAACAACCCAGACCGCCAGCUAAGGUCCCAAAGUCAUGGUUAAGUGGGAAACGAUGUGGGAAGGCCCAGACAGCCAGGAUGUUGGCUUAGAAGCAGCCAUCAUUUAAAGAAAGCGUAAUAGCUCACUGGUCGAGUCGGCCUGCGCGGAAGAUGUAACGGGGCUAAACCAUGCACCGAAGCUGCGGCAGCGACGCUUAUGCGUUGUUGGGUAGGGGAGCGUUCUGUAAGCCUGCGAAGGUGUGCUGUGAGGCAUGCUGGAGGUAUCAGAAGUGCGAAUGCUGACAUAAGUAACGAUAAAGCGGGUGAAAAGCCCGCUCGCCGGAAGACCAAGGGUUCCUGUCCAACGUUAAUCGGGGCAGGGUGAGUCGACCCCUAAGGCGAGGCCGAAAGGCGUAGUCGAUGGGAAACAGGUUAAUAUUCCUGUACUUGGUGUUACUGCGAAGGGGGGACGGAGAAGGCUAUGUUGGCCGGGCGACGGUUGUCCCGGUUUAAGCGUGUAGGCUGGUUUUCCAGGCAAAUCCGGAAAAUCAAGGCUGAGGCGUGAUGACGAGGCACUACGGUGCUGAAGCAACAAAUGCCCUGCUUCCAGGAAAAGCCUCUAAGCAUCAGGUAACAUCAAAUCGUACCCCAAACCGACACAGGUGGUCAGGUAGAGAAUACCAAGGCGCUUGAGAGAACUCGGGUGAAGGAACUAGGCAAAAUGGUGCCGUAACUUCGGGAGAAGGCACGCUGAUAUGUAGGUGAAGUCCCUCGCGGAUGGAGCUGAAAUCAGUCGAAGAUACCAGCUGGCUGCAACUGUUUAUUAAAAACACAGCACUGUGCAAACACGAAAGUGGACGUAUACGGUGUGACGCCUGCCCGGUGCCGGAAGGUUAAUUGAUGGGGUUAGCGCAAGCGAAGCUCUUGAUCGAAGCCCCGGUAAACGGCGGCCGUAACUAUAACGGUCCUAAGGUAGCGAAAUUCCUUGUCGGGUAAGUUCCGACCUGCACGAAUGGCGUAAUGAUGGCCAGGCUGUCUCCACCCGAGACUCAGUGAAAUUGAACUCGCUGUGAAGAUGCAGUGUACCCGCGGCAAGACGGAAAGACCCCGUGAACCUUUACUAUAGCUUGACACUGAACAUUGAGCCUUGAUGUGUAGGAUAGGUGGGAGGCUUUGAAGUGUGGACGCCAGUCUGCAUGGAGCCGACCUUGAAAUACCACCCUUUAAUGUUUGAUGUUCUAACGUUGACCCGUAAUCCGGGUUGCGGACAGUGUCUGGUGGGUAGUUUGACUGGGGCGGUCUCCUCCUAAAGAGUAACGGAGGAGCACGAAGGUUGGCUAAUCCUGGUCGGACAUCAGGAGGUUAGUGCAAUGGCAUAAGCCAGCUUGACUGCGAGCGUGACGGCGCGAGCAGGUGCGAAAGCAGGUCAUAGUGAUCCGGUGGUUCUGAAUGGAAGGGCCAUCGCUCAACGGAUAAAAGGUACUCCGGGGAUAACAGGCUGAUACCGCCCAAGAGUUCAUAUCGACGGCGGUGUUUGGCACCUCGAUGUCGGCUCAUCACAUCCUGGGGCUGAAGUAGGUCCCAAGGGUAUGGCUGUUCGCCAUUUAAAGUGGUACGCGAGCUGGGUUUAGAACGUCGUGAGACAGUUCGGUCCCUAUCUGCCGUGGGCGCUGGAGAACUGAGGGGGGCUGCUCCUAGUACGAGAGGACCGGAGUGGACGCAUCACUGGUGUUCGGGUUGUCAUGCCAAUGGCACUGCCCGGUAGCUAAAUGCGGAAGAGAUAAGUGCUGAAAGCAUCUAAGCACGAAACUUGCCCCGAGAUGAGUUCUCCCUGACUCCUUGAGAGUCCUGAAGGAACGUUGAAGACGACGACGUUGAUAGGCCGGGUGUGUAAGCGCAGCGAUGCGUUGAGCUAACCGGUACUAAUGAACCGUGAGGCUUAACCUUACAACGCCGAAG
rnacentral:rRNA from 1 species